ensembl:misc_RNA
CUCAAUAAAACUUUUGCUAACCUAGGUAGCAAAAGGCACCUUUGGUUACCUGAGUGGGCAG